rnacentral:rRNA from 1 species
UUUAGACUUAUAAAGAGCGUUUUCUGAUGAAAAACUUUUAAUGGGCAGAGUAUAGGAAAAUUAGAAAUGCCUAAAUACUUACGACCUGGUCUGGUAAGAUGCUAAUAAUUGUAAAAAAGCUUUAGUUUUAUUAGUACCUUUUGUAUAAUGGCCUUUCGAGGGGCUUUACCUUAGUGGUUUCUCCUGAAUUAAAAAGAUUUUUUGGGGGUUUAUAAGGUUAACGAUGUAAGGAAUCUUUUAAUCCCUCAAAAGAUGUGAUAUGCAAUAUCGGGUUUUAGUGUAGCUGGUUACGUAAAAAAUGCUUUUAGGUGCAGCUUUAAAGUUAUUUUAUGCGCAAAACAAAGUGCGUAAGGGUUAUUAAAAGCUUUAAAAGUGAGAAGUCUGGCUAAAGGUCAUACUAAGUUGUCUUCUGAUGUUUACACACCUUAAAUAGAGAAAUUGGAUUUAAAAUGUCCGUUUUGAUAAGAGUAUUUAACAACUUGUCUUUUAAGGGUUGGUAUAAUAAGUUUGAUUAACAGAGGCGCGCAUCAUUACGUAACUGCCUAAAAUGGGAUAAGGUGGCAUUUUAUGUUAGGAUUAGUAGCAUUUAUA